UACGUAGGGUGCAAGCGUUAAUCGGAAUUACUGGGCGUAAAGCGUGCGCAGGCGGUGAUGUAAGACAGUUGUGAAAUCCCCGGGCUCAACCUGGGAAUUGCAUUUGUGACUGCACGGCUAGAGUGUGUCAGAGGGGGGGUAGAAUUCCACGUGUAGCAGUGAAAUGCGUAGAGAUGUGGAGGAAUACCGAUGGCGAAGGCAGCCCCCCUGGGAUAACACUGACGCUGAAGCACGAAAGCGUGGGGAGCAAACAGG
rnacentral:rRNA from 1 species